rnacentral:rRNA from 8 species
UAGUGGCGAACGGGUGAGUAACACGUGGGCAAUCUGCCCUUCACUCUGGGACAAGCCCUGGAAACGGGGUCUAAUACCGGAUAUGAGCCUGGGAGGCAUCUCCUGGGUUGUAAAGCUCCGGCGGUGAAGGAUGAGCCCGCGGCCUAUCAGCUUGUUGGUGAGGUAAUGGCUCACCAAGGCGACGACGGGUAGCCGGCCUGAGAGGGCGACCGGCCACACUGGGACUGAGACACGGCCCAGACUCCUACGGGAGGCAGCAGUGGGGAAUAUUGCACAAUGGGCGAAAGCCUGAUGCAGCGACGCCGCGUGAGGGAUGACGGCCUUCGGGUUGUAAACCUCUUUCAGCAGGGAAGAAGCGAAAGUGACGGUACCUGCAGAAGAAGCGCCGGCUAACUACGUGCCAGCAGCCGCGGUAAUACGUAGGGCGCAAGCGUUGUCCGGAAUUAUUGGGCGUAAAGAGCUCGUAGGCGGCUUGUCACGUCGAUUGUGAAAGCCCGAGGCUUAACCUCGGGUCUGCAGUCGAUACGGGCUAGCUAGAGUGUGGUAGGGGAGAUCGGAAUUCCU